AGGAAUGAGUCCUUCAGAGGCAAUUCUAAAUAAUACAGAUGUCUCCUUCCAAACUGAGUGUGAUUAGCAACUCAAUAACUGAAUAUAAACCAGGCAGCGCAGAAAAGAAAAUGGAUCCUCAGAAUACAUAUCAUAAACAGGAGGACAAGAACCUCAGUCUGUAAGAAUAGAGAAUAUAGGAGAUGGGAGGUGAGAUCCCUAGGGAUGUCAUGGAGAAGAACCUUUGUUAUUUACCUACAGAACUAUCACCCUUGAGAGUUGCCACCAUAUCAAAGAUUCCAGCUCCACUGUUCACUGCUGAACUGAGACAUGUGCUUUCUCUUCAUUAUUUACUCUCCCUCUUCUGGGAUUGGCCUCUCCUUAUCAAGUAACUAUCAUAUAGUUAUUCACCUAUCCAAGUUAUAAACAGUGAGUUCUCUCUGGAAGGAGAGAUUUCCCAUCCCGUGUCUGUCUCAGAAUUCAAUAUGAAAUACUAGGAUAUUGGUAUUCAUUCCUUCAGGUAUAUUUUAAAGCACCAACACAACGCAGGGCACUGUUCUGUACAAUGAGGAUACAUUAGUGAAUAAAAUAGGCAAAGGAACUGCCUUUAUGGAGGCAGAGUAAGUGUGUUAUGUAAUGUAAGAAAGCGUUAAGUCCUAUGAAGAAAAAUAAAGCCUAGUAAUACUGAUUUAUAUUAAUGAAUAGGUAGUUAUAGGCAAGGCUCUAUUCCCUCCUCCUUACCCCUCCAUGGGCUUUUCUGGGUAUAAUUUGAGCUAAGACAAAUCUACUGAGGGGAGUCACCCAUCAGUAUUUGUAACCACAUAACAUUUAAUAAUGGUUUCUAUGGAUUGUCUCUGACAAGCCUCCCGCGUCUGAUAUCUGAGAAACAACGCAAACUCUUGAGUCACAUUCCAACACCUCCCAAACCCAGAGCCUCUGGGGGCUGGAGUCCAGGCCUCCGCAUUUUUAACACCGGCCUGACAUACACCUAAUUUUGGCGCUCUUCGUCCUAAAUCCUGGGUUACUAACCACCCCCACCCUCACAUGAUUGGGUGGAUUCAGGCUGUGCCUUUCUCAUCGGCAUCGGACCUUUGUUGGCCCGCUUUUGGUGGCCUUUCUCCCAGACCCCAAUCGCAAUCCCAAUUUAGGUUCGUCCAUCCGCUCUUUCCCUCUGGUGGGUGAUGACCAGCCUCACGCUGUACCAGUUUCUGGAAAUCUUGUGUUCUUAAAAACCACUUUCUGCAAGCAAUCUUCCGCCAUAAGUUUUGCGUGGGUGUCCGUUUACCGGACGUAUUACUUUUUCUUACCAGGUGUUAGUUCACUCUCUGAUGCGGUAUCGACACCUAAACUCCUACUAGUUCGUUUGGAAACUUUUUUUUUUUUUUUUUAACACAAAGUGGAUAAUAUACGCCCGGUCAUGUAAGUUCCUGACAAGCCCGUCGAACACAAUGUAGCCCGCACCACGUCUGCCUCGCGAAGUUGCAGACUUUAUCAAUCUUCCGCGAAAGUCGACGUUGAGGAUAAGAGAUAACUUCAGAAGCUUCUCAACUCGGCCACUCCCGCUUCUGGCAGCAAAGCCACCCUUUUGCUUUGAGUACGUCGGACGCCCCAAUAUGGCCGCCCGCUCGGCCACGGAGAGCGGACGCGGACACAAUGCCUCAUGGGAAAUACCGGAAAUGCGUCGUUCGCGGAUCUCUGAGGGCCUCCAGUGCUCGUCGGCCGCCGUACUCUGAGGGGUUGCCGGAAGAUCCGCGUUCAGGUUCUCCCCACGGAUCUGACGGCAACUAGGGUGACGUGUGGACCUGCUGUAGCAUGGAUCCGUGAAAUCACUGCCGGGGACGGUCGGGGAGGGUAGAAAGCGCCGAGGUGGAGGUAUUUAAGGAGAACCAGAAAUCUGGAAACUUGAUGGUCAUCUGCCAGAGCACUUACAAAAUGAAUUCAUGGAAAAUAGCCUAGAACAAUGACACAAACGUAACACAUUUGAAAAUUCUCUUCUUCGGAGCAAAACUCAUUUGGUGUUAAGGCAAAAACAUGAUAUGUUUGACUUACAUGGAAAAAGUAUGAAAUCAAAUUUAACUACUUAACCAGAGCAGAACCACUGCAGAGCAUACUGUAGAUGGGAAAUCCUUUCUUCACGUUAAUCAUGAACAAUUUCAGAAUGAAAUUAAAUCCCCUGAAAGCAAAACACUCAUCAGCACUAAGUGCCAAAUCAUCAAGCAUCAGAAAAUUAAAAAAACAAAGAAACCUCAUGUAUGAAGUAAAUAUGGGAAACGCUUCAUUCAGAAGUCCUGGUUCACUGGUCACCAGAAUCUUCAUGCAGGAGGGUAACCCCACAAAUGCAGUCUUUGCAGGAAAACAUUCUCCAGAAAGUUCAUGCUCACUGAACACCAGAGAACGCAUAAACAGGAGAAAAACCUUAUGAAUGCACUGUAUGUGGCAAAGCCUUCCUCAAGAAAUCAUGGGUCAGUGUACAUCAGAAAACACACGAGAGAGACUUUUUAUGUGCAGUGAAUGUGGAAAAGGCUUCAUCGAGAAGGGAAAUCUCAUGGUACAGCUGCGGAUUCAUACAGGAGAAAAACCUUAUAUAUGCAAUGGGUGUGGGAAAGGCUUCAGCCAAAAGACGUGCCUGGAGCCUGCUUUGGAUUCUAGCACAUCAGAGAUUUCACACAGGAAAGACUCCCUUUGUGGACAGUGAAUGUGGAAAAUCCUGUUCCCAGAAGACAGGUCUCAUUAAACAUCAAAGAACUCACACAGGAGAGAAACCCUUUAAACGUAGUGAAUGUGGGAAAGCCUUACCCAGCUCAUUAUACAUCAGAGAACUCAUACAGGAGAGAAACCAUAUAGUUGCAUUGAAUGUGGGAGAUCUUUUUGAGGGAAGUCAGUCCUCACUAAACAUCAGAAAAUUGAUUUAGUCAAGGUAGAAAAUCCUCCCUCAGUCACAGGUCCUCACAGACCAGUGUUGUCCUGCAAGAGAAAACCUUUUUAACGUGGUGACUGUGCAGGUGCCUUCUGUGGCUUGUCAGACGCCAUUAAACAUCAGUAGACUUCUAGCAACUAGGAAUGUGGUCAUAGUGGGACAGCCUGCAGCCAGGCAGGUAUUUGUUAAAUACUUCAUUUGUACUGGGUCCUGUUCUAGGAGCUGAAUAUACAGUGGUGACCAAAACAGAAAAAGCCCCUGGUCUCCUGGAGAGAGCACUGAGGUAACCUGGAUCAUCUUUAACUUAACUUUUUUCAAGUAAUUUCUCUGUUCACCAUAGGGCUGGGGAACUCACAUCCCAGAGAUUAAGAAUCACAUGUUCUGGGGUGCCUGGGUGGCUCAGUCGGUUAAGCAUCCGACUUUGGCUCAGGUCAUG